AUACGGAGGAUGCAAGCGUUAUCCGGAUUUAUUGGGUUUAAAGGGUGCGUAGGCGGGACUGUAGGUCAGGGGUGAAAUACUGCAGCUUAACUGUAGCAUUGCCUUUGAAACUGCCGUUCUUGAGUACAGUUGAGGUAGGCGGAAUGUGGUGUGUAGCGGUGAAAUGCAUAGAUAUACCACAGAACGCCGAUUGCGAAGGCAGCUUACUAAGCUGUUACUGACGCGGAGGCACGAAAGCGUGGGGAUCAAACAGGAUUAGAUACCCUAGGAGUCCACGCUGUAAACGAUGAUUACUGGUAGUUAGCGAUAUAUAGCUAGUGACUGAGCGAAAGCAUUAAGUAAUCCACCUGGGGAGUACGUCGGCAACGAUGAAACUCAAAGGAAUUGACGGUG
rnacentral:rRNA from 1 species